GCAGUGGUGGUUCAGUGGUAGAAUUCUCGCCUUCCAUGCAGGAGACCUAGGUUCGAUUCCUGGCCAAUGCA
rnacentral:tRNA from 1 species